rnacentral:rRNA from 1 species
GGCACUAGGUGUGGGGGACAUUCCACGUUCUCCGUGCCGAAGCUAACGCAUUAAGUGCCCCGCCUGGGGAGUACGGCCGCAAGGUUAAAACUCAAAUGAAUUGACGGGGGCCCGCACAAGCGGCGGAGCAUGCGGAUUAAUUCGAUGCAACGCGAAGAACCUUACCUGGGUUUGACAUACACCGGAAAGCUGCAGAGAUGUAGCCCCCGCAAGGUCGGUGUACAGGUGGUGCAUGGCUGUCGUCAGCUCGUGUCGUGAGAUGUUGGGUUAAGUCCCGCAACGAGCGCAACCCUCGUUCUAUGUUGCCAGCACAUAAUGGUGGGGACUCAUAGGAGACUGCCGGGGUCAACUCGGAGGAAGGUGGGGAUGACGUCAAGUCAUCAUGCCCCUUAAGUCCAGGGCUUCACGCAUGCUACAAUGGCCGGUACAAAGGGCUGCGAUACCGCAAGGUGGAGCGAAUCCCAAAAAGCCGGUCUCAGUUCGGAUUGGGGUCUGCAACUCGACCCCAUGAAGUCGGAGUCGCUAGUAAUCGCAGAUCAGCAACGCUGCGGUGAAUACGUUCCCGGGCCUUGUACACACCGCCCGUCAAGUCAUGAAAGUCGGUAACACCCGAAGCCGGUGGCCCAACCCUUGUGGAGGGAGCCGUCUAAGGUGGGA